rnacentral:misc_RNA from 1 species
GAAAUGCGAUACGUAAUGUGAAUUGCAGAAUUCCGCGAAUCAUCGAAUCCUUGAACGCAUCUUGCGCUUGCGAGCCCUCUCGCAAGCACGCCUGUUUGAGCAUCGUUUCUCCAUCUCACCCCUCCCCAAGCCGGCUGCGGGUGGAAGCUGGGCAUUGGAUGGCCUUUAAUCGGCUGUUCAUUGCUUGAAGUGGAGUGCUGGCUGACCUCCUUGUGUACGGCCACGGAGCAGUGGCAUGCUUUCUGUGGUCUGCACGUGAAAAAGAGAGGCAGUUGGGCAAUGCUGCAUCAGGGGGAUGGCAAUGUGUCCAUUUCUCCUGGCCAUUAUCCCAUUGCGAUCUCAAAUCAGGUGAGACUACCCGCUGAACUUAA